AGUUUUAUGUUCUGUGUAUUUUACCACAAUUAAAAAUAACAAAAUAAUAAUGUGGCUACAUUGAGACACAAGUUAUGCUUCCAUCACAGUAAGUUUAUUGCAGUGGUGACAAUGAGACCUGUAACAUUU
rfam:Pteropus alecto contig110069, whole genome shotgun sequence.